rfam:Strongylocentrotus purpuratus Contig144395_fixed, whole genome shotgun sequence.
GGUGUGUUUGCUCAGUCAGUAGAGCGUCCGCCUCACAACCGGGAGGUCGUGGUUUCGAACCCCGUCCGCGUCA